rnacentral:rRNA from 1 species
GUGGCUCUGACUGCUUAUUGCACCACAUGUGUUUUUCUUUGAAACAAACUUGCUUUGGCGGUGGGCCCAGCCUGCCGCCAGAGGUCUAAACUUACAACCAAUUUUUUAUCAACUUGUCACACCAGAUUAUUACUAAUAGUCAAAACUUUCAACAACGGAUCUCUUGGUUCUCGCAUCGAUGAAGAACGCAGCGAAAUGCGAUACGUAAUAUGAAUUGCAGAUAUUCGUGAAUCAUCGAAUCUUUGAACGCACAUUGCGCCCUCUGGUAUUCCGGAGGGCAUGCCUGUUUGAGCGUCGUUUCUCCCUCAAACCGCUGGGUUUGGUGUUGAGCAAUACGACUUGGGUUUGCUUGAAAGACGGUAGUGGUAAGGCGGGAUCGCUUUGACAAUGGCUUAGGUCUAACCAAAAACAUUGCUUGCGGCGGUAACGUCUACCACGUAUAUCUUCAAACUUUGACCUCAAAUCAGGUAGGACUACCCGCUGAACUUAAGCAUAUCAAAAGCGGAGGAA